UACGGAGGGAGCUAGCGUUGUUCGGAAUUACUGGGCGUAAAGCGCGCGUAGGCGGCUUUGUAAGUUAGAGGUGAAAGCCCGGGGCUCAACCCCGGAACUGCCUUUAAGACUGCAUCGCUGGAAUCCGGGAGAGGUGAGUGGAAUUCCGAGUGUAGAGGUGAAAGUUCGUAGAUAUUCGGAAGAACACCAGUGGCGAAGGCGGCUCACUGGACCGGUAUUGACGCUGAGUGUGCGAAAGCGUGGGGAGCAAACAGG
rnacentral:rRNA from 1 species